rnacentral:tRNA from 1 species
UCUCUGUUGGUCUAGUGGUUAAGAUUCAGUACUUUCACUGCUGAGGUCCAGGGUUCAAUCUCUGGUCUGAGAA